GGGGGUGUAACUCAGUUGGUAGAGUACAUGCUUAGUAAGCAUGAAGUCCUGUAUUCAGUCCCC
rnacentral:tRNA from 1 species